CUCAACUUGCCUUUCCUUCAUCCUUGCCAUGUGAAUCGAUUCAUUGUACCUAGUCAAGCACAUAUCACCUUUUGAUUGAUUUUUCCUUACUCUCCUCUCCCCAUUGUCGUCCAUCUUCUUAGCUCAUCCCUUUCUCUCUAUUUUUCUUUGUUUUGGCCACUCUUCCACCACCUUUGCUUUUAGUUAUUCUCCUCUCUUCCACCACCCAUUGCAAGCCGA
rnacentral:lncRNA from 1 species